UACGGAGGGUGCAAGCGUUAUCCGGAUUCACUGGGCUUAAAGGGUGCGUAGGUGGGUCUGUAAGUCCGUGGUGAAAUCUCCGAGCUUAACUUGGAAACUGCCAUGGAUACUAUAGGUCUUGAAUACUGUGGAGGUCAGCGGAAUAUGUCAUGUAGCGGUGAAAUGCUUAGAUAUGACAUAGAACACCAAUGGCGAAGGCAGCUGGCUACACAAAUAUUGACGCUGAGGCACGAAAGCGUGGGGAGCAAACAGG
rnacentral:rRNA from 1 species